CUUCAAUCCCGAAGCUGUCACCAGCUACUGACUCAGCUAUUUCAAGUUUCAUCAGUGCCUUCCCUCUUCCAAGUUAAAAUACUAACUGGCCAGGACAAUUAUCUGGAAUGUGGAGGUGAUGUUGUCAUUACAGCUUUGCCCUCCUGAUCUUGCCAAACUUCUUACAGAUUCAGCCUUUUGUCCUGGCUCCAAGUUUUUGCAUACCAAGCUCCUUCCUCCUGAAAAGGGUUAUGCAAAUGCCUCUCCCUUGAGGAGCCUUCUCUGUACUCACAUAUACCAAGAGACACGCUGCCCCACCUACGAACCCCUAUUUCCCAGGAAUUAUGGUGCCAAUUUGUGCACCAUAUGGUGUUCACCAAUAUAAGCCUCCUGAGAGGAGGGCCUGCCAUACUUAAGUGUUUGAUGAACGAAUGAAAAGACAUGCUUUAAAUUCUACAUAUCUCCCCAACUUUCCCUCUGCCUUCACACACGUAUGUAUGAAACUCAACCUGAAGGACUCUGGACUCCCCCCAACCUACAGCUGCCAUCGCCAGCACCAGAGGCUGGUGGUUUGGAUGGGUUGGGUUGGAACUGGAGGUGGGCGCACGUCUGUCUGGCUCAGAACUUGAGUCCAUAACAAAGAUUCUCAUUAUCGAACUUUGUUCUCAGUGAGGGCAAGUGAGUCAUCACUGCCAGACGAUGACGACCCCUCCAUUGAGAAGGGCUGAGGGAGCUCAGAGCCCCCGGCUGAGGGAUGGGCUCAGAAGCACCCUGGGGCUUGGGGCACUGCCUGGCACAAGCACAGCUGCAGUGCACCCUGCCUGCUCAUCGGCUUGCUUUGAUCCCUGGGCCCUGUGGUCUGUGCAGUGACGGGGUGGACCCACUCUGUGACUAUUCCUGCAGCCCGAUGCCUCUUCGGGUGAUUUCUCUGUCAGCUCUCCACUCACAGAACCUAACUGUUCAGAUUUCUGUCCCUUUCCCCCUAUCUAACUCUUCCUUAGCCUUGUCUUCUGCAAAGCCUUCCUUCUGGGACACUGGGGAGGGCAAGGGGCCCCUCUCAUGUGGGUAACACUGCUCCUCCACACCAGACUGUGGGCAGCAGGCAGGGAUCAGAUCUUAGUCAACUCUGUGCUGCCCAGUGCUUGGCACAGAGCAGCAAUUUGUUUAAUACAUGAUAACAGAAUGAGUAAACCAGGGAGCGGAACACAGGUUGGAUGAAAGUUUUUGUUUGGUGUGAUGUAAAGUUUAGAUUGAGGAAAAUGGCAACAUAUUAGCAUUUUACCUGCUUCAAUUAUUGGUAAGGAAAGCACCCACCUUGUAUAACUGCAACUAUUAACGGCUAAGUUAAUAAAAGUUAGUAAAAGUAAGUUAAUAAGUUAGUAAAAGUGAAUCUACUGGGUUUUUUUUAACACAAGACACUUGACCCACUACAAAUUU
rnacentral:lncRNA from 1 species